rnacentral:lncRNA from 1 species
CCAAUACAUGUAAAUCAUGAUUCGUGUUCUUAAACAAUGAAAUUUACAAAGUAACAGGAUUGGCGAAACUACACUACAAAAACCACCGAAAUACCUAGCACAUCACUUAACAAUUGGAACAUUCCGGCCCCAAGCAACACAUCUUACAUGUCAAUUAGUAGAGCUAACAUCACUAGGCCUAAUCAUCUCGAAUUUGUAAUAAAGAGAGAUGACAUUCGUUUGUGAAAAAAAGAGGGCAUUCACAUCCCAAAUUUGAAAUGUAUGCAAUCAGCAUCACAAUAUAAUUUGCUGGAGUUUCUGUCCCUAUCGAUUCCUCAACAUUUGCACGAGCCCAGAUUUUGGCUGACUUCGUUGAAGGGUAGCCAAUUGUCUAGGUUUGGCCAUGGUCAAGGAGGCGGCCUCCGACAGGUCAUGCUGUGUAGGGAUAUUUGUUUUGAAUUCGAAUAUCCCAUAGCUGUGGAUGACAAAUAGAAGUUCAGCCAACAUUACCACUAACAUAAUAGAGAAAAAUCCCUACCUAAAUAUCUAUAAUAUAACAAGUUCGGCUAAUCUGACCAAGUUUCUCAAUAGCGAUCAGCUAUUUUUAAUUAUAUGCAUUUCCAUAUAAUAUUCACUGUUUCUUAUCUGCAGGCACAUUUCUUACUCUACAUAUCUCUGCAAAUACUGACCUGUAGUGAUUUAUUAUGAAAAAUUUAUACUGUAAUUUUUUAUAAUUGAAGUUUCUUGGCUUGUAGUUCAAUUUUUAGUGACUGUUAAAACGGAUAAAGCAUCUCUACCUAAAUCUCUAUAAUAUAACUACAAGUUAACAUAUUCAUGAAGAUGAAAAUUAACUGUCUCUCAUGAAGAUGGGUUCGGCGUUCACUUCAGUAGUCGUGAAGGAGGGCGGCUAGGGUUAUGGUACAAUCUCAAUUGAGUUGUACCAGCAGGAAAUGGAACUGAACUGCUUCAAAGAACCGUUUGUACCAUAACUUCUUAGCCGAAGGUUAGACGAAGAUGGAGAAAGUUGCGCUGGUGAAUCUUGAUUGAGUAGCGGGUGGCUGGGAUUUCGCUCUAUUUUGGGAAAAGGGGUGGCUGGGGUUUCACUCUUUCAGUUGGAGAUGGAAAUGAAAUUCAUAGCUUUCCC